GGGAUAAGCGGAAGAAAUUCCGUCUAAUACCGCGUAAUAACUCCGAGGGGCAUCUCUUGGGGUUUAAAGGGUAACACCGGCUACGGAUGGCCAUGCGGCGCAUUAGCUAGUUGGCGGGGUAACGGCCCACCAAGGCGACGAUGCGUAGGGGUUCUGAGAGGAAGGUCCCCCACACUGGUACUGAGACACGGACCAGACUCCUACGGGAGGCAGCAGUGAGGAAUAUUGGUCAAUGGGCGCGAGCCUGAACCAGCCAAGUCGCGUGAGGGAAGACGGUCCUAUGGAUUGUAAACCUCUUUUGUCGGGGAGCAAAAGACGCCACGCGUGGCGUUCCGAGAGUACCCGAAGAAAAAGCAUCGGCUAACUCCGUGCCAGCAGCCGCGGUAAUACGGAGGAUGCGAGCGUUAUCCGGAUUUAUUGGGUUUAAAGGGUGCGCAGGCGGAAGAUCAAGUCAGCGGUAAAAUUGGGAGGCUCAACCUCUUCGAGCCGUUGAAACUGGUUUUCUUGAGUGAGCGAGAAGUAUGCGGAAUGCGUGGUGUAGCGGUGAAAUGCAUAGAUAUCACGCAGAACUCCGAUUGCGAAGGCAGCAUACCGGCGCUCAACUGACGCUCAUGCACGAAAGUGUGGGUAUCGAACAGGAUUAGAUACCCUGGUAGUCCACACAGUAAACGAUGAAUAAUAGUUGUUCGGG
rnacentral:rRNA from 1 species